UACGGGGGGGGCAAGCGUUGUUCGGAAUUACUGGGCGUAAAGGGCUCGUAGGCGGCCAACUAAGUCAGACGUGAAAUCCCUCGGCUUAACCGGGGAACUGCGUCUGAUACUGGAUGGCUUGAGGUUGGGAGAGGGAUGCGGAAUUCCAGGUGUAGCGGUGAAAUGCGUAGAUAUCUGGAGGAACACCGGUGGCGAAGGCGGCAUCCUGGACCAAUUCUGAACGCUGAGGAGCGAAAGCCAGGGGAGCAAAGCGGGG
rnacentral:rRNA from 1 species